ACGAACGCUUGCGGCGUGCUUAACACAUGCAAGUCGAACGGAAAGGCCCCUUUGGGGGUACUCGAGUGGCGAACGGGUGAGUAACACGUGAGUAACCUGCCCUUGACUUCGGGAUAACUUCAGGAAACUGGGGCUAAUACCGGAUAGGAAUCCUUGCUGCAUGGUGGGGGUUGGAAAGCUUCGGCGGUUUUGGAUGGACUCGCGGCUUAUCAGCUUGUUGGUGGGGUAGUGGCUUACCAAGGCUUUGACGGGUAGCCGGCCUGAGAGGGCGACCGGCCACAUUGGGACUGAGAUACGGCCCAGACUCCUACGGGAGGCAGCAGUGGGGAAUAUUGCACAAUGGGCGGAAGCCUGAUGCAGCAACGCCGCGUGCGGGAUGACGGCCUUCGGGUUGUAAACCGCUUUCAGCAGGGGCGAAGCUUGUGGUGACGGUACCUGCAGAAGAAGCACCGGCUAACUACGUG
rnacentral:rRNA from 1 species